UACGGGGGGGGCAAGCGUUGUUCGGAAUUACUGGGCGUAAAGGGUGCGUAGGUGGCGAGGUAAGUCGGAUGUGAAAUCUCCAAGCUCAACUUGGAAAUGGCAUUGGAAACUACCUUGCUAGAGGUUUUGAGGGGGGACUGGAAUUCUCGGUGUAGCAGUGAAAUGCGUAGAUAUCGAGAGGAACACCAGUGGCGAAGGCGAGUCCCUGGAAAACACCUGACACUGAGGCACGAAAGCUAGGGGAGCAAACAGG
rnacentral:rRNA from 1 species